rnacentral:lncRNA from 1 species
GCGAGCAAAUCUACUCCUCCAAGCAUAACUGGUACGUCGCGAUGAAUACCAACUGCUCCCAAUCUCUCUGUGCCGACGGUCUGGAUUUCCUUAGUCUUCGGUUCGAAGACUCCCCGAAAAGACCAAGACCUAACUAAAUGCGGACUCACAAAACUAUGAGAAGCUCCCGUGUCGAAUAAUGUAUGAGCUGACUUACCUCCAACCGAAACCGAUCCUACAUAAUUUUUUUUUUUUUUUUACUGACUACACAUGAUAACCAUGAAACCAAAAUUUUCAAACACAACAAGUAUGGAAAAGUACAUACCCACUAUCGGCUCAGCUCCCUGAGGAUCUCCAACCGCAAACACA